AGAGUUUGAUCAUGGCUCAGGACGAACGCUGGCGGCGUGCUUAACACAUGCAAGUCGAACGCUGAACCCGCUUCGGUGGGGGAUGAGUGGCGAACGGGUGAGUAACACGUGGGCAACCUGCCCCCGGCUCUGGGAUAACUCCAAGAAAUUGGGGCUAAUACCGGAUAUCCACGGCUGGCCGCAUGGUCUGGUGGUGGAAAGGGUUUCCGGCUGGGGAUGGGCCCGCGGCCUAUCAGCUUGUUGGUGGGGUAGUGGCCUACCAAGGCGACGAUCAGUAGCUGGUCUGAGAGGAUGAUCAGCCACAUUGGGACUGAGACACGGCCCAAACUCCUACGGGAGGCAGCAGUGGGGAAUAUUGGACAAUGGGCGCAAGCCUGAUCCAGCCAUGCCGCGUGAGUGAUGAAGGCCUUAGGGUUGUAAAGCUCUUUCACCCACGACGAUAAUGACGGUAGUGGGAGAAGAAGCCCCGGCUAACUUCGUGCCAGCAGCCGCGGUAAUACGAAGGGGGCUAGCGUUGCUCGGAAUCACUGGGCGUAAAGGGCGCGUAGGCGGAUUGUUAAGUCAGAGGUGAAAGCCCAGGGCUCAACCCUGGAAUUGCCUUUGAUACUGGCAAUCUUGAGACCGGAAGAGGUUAGUGGAACUGCGAGUGUAGAGGUGAAAUUCGUAGAUAUUCGCAAGAACACCAGUGGCGAAGGCGGCUGACUGGUCCGGUUCUGACGCUGAGGCGCGAAAGCGUGGGGAGCAAACAGGAUUAGAUACCCCAGUAGUCC
rnacentral:rRNA from 2 species